UACGUAGGGGGCAAGCGUUGUCCGGAAUCAUUGGGCGUAAAGAGCGUGUAGGCGGCCAGAUAAGUCCGCUGUGAAAUCUCGAGGCUCAACUUCGAGCUGUCGGUGGAAACUGUCUGGCUAGAGUCCGGAAGAGGAGAAUGGAAUUCCUGGUGUAGCGGUGAAAUGCGCAGAUAUCAGGAAGAACACCCGUGGCGAAGGCGGCUCUCUGGAACGCAACUGACGCUGAGACGCGAAAGCGUGGGGAGCAAACAGG
rnacentral:rRNA from 1 species